rnacentral:rRNA from 1 species
CGAACGCUGGCGGCGUGCCUAAUACAUGCAAGUCGAACGGUCUUUCUAUGGAAGCUUGCUUCCACUGAGAAGAUAGUGGCGAACGGGUGAGUAACACGUGGGUAACCUGCCCAUAAGAGGGGGAUAACAUCCGGAAACGGGUGCUAAUACCGCAUAGUUUUCUUGAUCGCAUGAUCGGGAAAGGAAAGACGGCCUUUGUGCUGUCGCUUAUGGAUGGACCCGCGGCGUAUUAGUUAGUUGGUGAGGUAACGGCUCACCAAGACGAUGAUACGUAGCCGACCUGAGAGGGUGAUCGGCCACAUUGGGACUGAGACACGGCCCAAACUCCUACGGGAGGCAGCAGUAGGGAAUCUUCCGCAAUGGACGAAAGUCUGACGGAGCAACGCCGCGUGAGUGAAGAAGGUUUUCGGAAUCGUAAAACUCUGUUGUCAGAGAAGAACAAGUUGGAGAGUAACUGCUCCAGCCUUGACGGUAUCUGACCAGAAAGCCACGGCUAACUACGUGCCAGCAGCAGC